CAGUGGUGCCGAGAAGGCGGGUUGGGGAGGGGUUGUCAGAUCCUAAGAAGCGUCUGUAAUGAGCGGCGGUUUGGAAAUAUGGACCCGAGGUUUAGUAAGAGCUAGGCCGCGCUAAUGACGGAAGAGGGUGAACUUGUCUGAAGAUUUCCCUUCUCGCCUGUGUUGCGUCUUCCGAGGCCCCCGAGUUGACCCCCAUCUAGCUGGCGGGUCGGGGCGGAACACUUACCUGCUUGAGGUUAAGCCGGGUGGCCCUGGCGCCCUACUCGGUCGUUCUUUGGGAAACUGAAAUGACGAAGACAUGGCCUGCCUCAGAGGUGUGACUGGAAAGCCAGUGUUAGUUCAUGAAGUUUUACCAUCUAAGUAAUCAAAAAUGGAAAAUUCUGUAAAAGCAGAGUGUGAAAAGAUCUCUCUUGAAGAGGCAAAAGCAUCAACAGAUUCGGAAACAGAGUCUUCAUUCAGUAUUAAUGAAAACACAACCACUCCUGGGACUGGGCCCUCUGAAAAGUCUCCUAUCUGUGGACACGUAGACACACCAAAAAAGAGAAAAAUGGAAUUUGAAGAUGAUAUUGUAAAGGAAAGUUCUAGUUGUGGGGAAGACACUCCAACCAAGAAAAGAAAACUUGAUGCUGAAAUUGUUCCAGAGGAAAAAGGUUCUGGUGAUGAUGAAGGCAUUUCAAGGAAAAGAAGAAUGGAAACUGAUGAUUUUCCAAAAGAUGAACCUUCUACUGGAGAUGGCACACAGAGAAAGAGAAAAAUAGAACUUGAGGAUGUUCCUGAAAAGCAAAAAAACUUAGAAGAGGGACACAGUUCAGCAGUGGCUGCCCACUACAAUGAACUUCAGGAAGUUGGUUUGGAGAAGCGUAGCCAAAGUCGUAUUUUUUACCUCAGAAACUUUAAUAAUUGGAUGAAAAGCGUCCUCAUUGGGGAAUUUUUAGAAAAGGUACGACAGAAAAAAAAACGUGAUAUCACUGUUUUGGACCUGGGAUGUGGCAAAGGUGGAGAUUUGCUCAAGUGGAAAAAGGGAAGAAUUAAUAAGCUAGUUUGUACAGAUAUCGCUGAUGUUUCUGUCAAACAGUGUCAGCAGCGGUAUGAGGACAUGAAAAAUCGUUGUCGUGACAAUGAAUAUAUUUUCAACGCAGAAUUUAUAACUGCUGAUUGUUCAAAGGAACUUCUAAUUGACAAAUUUCGUGACCCAGAAAUGUGCUUUGAUAUCUGCAGUUGUCAGUUUGUCUGUCACUACUCAUUUGAGUCCUAUGAGCAGGCUGACAUGAUGCUCAGAAAUGCUUGUGAGAGACUGAACCCUGGAGGCUAUUUUAUUGGUACCACUCCCAAUAGCUUUGAACUGAUAAGACGCCUUGAAGUUUCAGAAACAGAAUCAUUUGGAAAUGAGAUAUAUACUGUGAAAUUUCAGAAGAAAGGAGAUUAUCCUUUAUUUGGCUGCAAAUAUGACUUCAACUUGGAAGGUGUUGUGGAUGUCCCUGAAUUCUUGGUCUAUUUUCCAUUGCUAAAUGAAAUGGCAAAGAAGUACAAUAUGAAACUAGUCUACAAAAAAACAUUUCUGGAAUUCUAUGAAGAAAAGGUUAAGAACAGUGAAAAUAAAAUGCUGUUAAAACGAAUGCAGGCCCUGGAGCCAUAUCCUGCAAACGAGAAUUCCAAACUUGCUUCUGAGAAGGUGGAUGACUAUGAACAUGCAGCAGAUUACAUGAAAAACAGUCAAGUAAGGUUACCUUUGGGAACCUUAAGUAAGUCAGAGUGGGAAGCCACAAGUGAGACCUCUUGUAUCCCACUGGAUCAGGGAAGAAAUCUCCAUGGCAGCAGGCAAACAAUAGCAGAGAAGUUUGUGACCUGAACGAACAUUUGUAGGGCGUCAUGAGGAGGCCUCACACUGACCCCAUGGGUGUCUAAGACACAUGAAUGAGCAUUCAGGUGAGCACUCUCCCACUAUUCUGCAAAUAGGUCAAAUUUAUGGCUCAGCAAACUCAGAGGGAAAGAUGGAAGUGGUUUAUUGAGUGCCCCUAGAUAUGUCAACAUAAAAUGUCUUGGAUACUAGAGUCUCAUCUGAAUGACUCAGAUGCCUCACUGCUCAUCAGUGCCCUGUCAGCAGAUCAGACUUGUCCCGUGGCACUAGGGGAGUAGUUACUCUUCAUCCCCUUUAGACAAACCUAUUUCAGAAAUGGAUGUUGCCAAUUACCUUAUACACACCAGAUGGACCCUGAGUGCUCUACCAACAUGGAGAAAAAUGGAGAAAUGUGUUGAGUGACCCCUCAGUACUCAGUCCCAGAUACCUGACACUCCAGCUUGUGUGACAGCUAGAGGAGGAUUCAACUUUUGGAACUCCUCAAUUUAGGAUCAGGAAUUUAUGGCAAAUCUGAAAAUAAACCCCAGUACAAUGCAGUGGGUGUUUUUUCAGGUACAUGAAUGUUUAUGAGUGUUUGUGCAUGUUUUUUAACACUGGUUUUAACAAAUUUGUGACGUUUUCUUGUUUCUUGUUCUUGGAGUUCAUUGAGCCUCUUGUGUGUGUGAGUUUAUUAUCUUACCAAAUUUAGAAAGCUUUCAUCUAUUAUUUCUUCGAAAGGUUUUUCAGUCUCCCCAGUCUCAUCCCCUUUGGAGGCUCAAAAUAUACAUAUGACCUGAUAUUGUCCUAUAUUUCACUGAAGUUCUGUUCAUUGAUUUUCACUCUUUUCUUUUUCUGCAUUCCACUUUGGAUAGUUUCUAUAGCUAUAUCUUCAAGUUUACUAAUUUCUAUUCUGUAAUGUCUAAUUUGCCAUUAAUUUCAUCUAGUACAUACUUCAGCGAUUCUGUGGGUUCAGAUCCAGACUACUGCAAUAAAUAAAUAAAUAAAUAAAUAAAUAGUGAAUAUCACAAUGAAAUGAGUCAAAUGAAUUAUUUGGUUUCCCUGUAUUUAAAAAAUUAUACAUACAUUGUACACUAUAGUAUAGUAUAGUAAGUGUACGGUAGCAUUAUGUCUAGAAAAACAAUAUACAUACCCCAAUUAAAAAAUACUUUAUUGAUAAAAGUGCUAACCAUCAUGUGAGCUUUCAGCAAGCCUAACCCUUUUGCUGCUGGAGGGUCUUGCCUCAAUGUUGAUGGUGGCUGACUUAUCAGGGUGAUGGUUGCUGAAGGUCAGGGUUGCUGUGGCAAUUUCUUAAGACAACCAAGAAGAUUGCCUCGUUGAGUAACUCCUUUCACAGCUGAUUUCUCUGUAGCAUGUAAUGCUGUAUGAUAGCAUUUUACCCAGUAGAACUUUUUUCCAAAUUGAAGUCAGUUUUCUCAAAUCCCAUCUAUACCUUAUCAACUAAGCUUAUGGAAUAUUCUAAAUCCUUUGCUGUUGUUCCAACAAUCUUCACCAGGAAUAGAUUCCAUCUCAAAAAACCACUUUCUUUGCUCAUCCAUAAGCAACUCCUCAUCUGUUCAAGUUUGAUCAUGGGAUCACAGCAAUUCAGUCAUAUCUUAGUCUACUUUCCUUUCCAUAUAAAUCUGGGACCUCUUUUUCACAUACUGCUAUGCCACAUCUCUGAGGCCUGGCCAGAAUACUGAUAGAUAAAAUAUUGUGACUGGGUUUUUCCCUUCCACCUGUCUCAUGAUGGGGUCCUGACCCACUUACCCACGGAGCUGCACAUGGUUCAGAGAUUUUUUUGAGAACCAAGCUGCUAGCUAUUUCAGACUCAUGUCUUACAAACUGAUGAAAUACCAUUAAUACACAUUUUCAAAACAUGUCUUCUAUUUGCUUUUCCUACAAUCUAGUCUUUGGUCUUCUAGCAAAGAGCUCAUGGCUCCCUCCCUCCCUCACUGGAUACUCUAGCCUGAACCUGAAAUGUCUUUCUUUCUUUUUUAUUUUUUUUAAAGUUUGAUGCUAUUAUAUUUUAAGUUUAUUUAUUUAUUUAGAGAGAGAGAUGCCGAGAGAGGGGGAAAAGAGAGAAUCUCAAGAAGGCUCUGCACCAUCAGUGCAGAGCCCAAUGUGGGGCUUGAACUCAACUGAGUCGUGAGAUCAAUACCUAAGCUGAAACCAAGAGUCAGACGCUUAAUGGACUGAGCAACCCAGGAGCCCCUGAAAAGUAUUUCUUAAGUGGGAAGACUUGAAAGUCAAAAUUACUCCUUGAUCCAUGAGCUGCAGAAUGGAUGUGUGUUUGCAGGCAUAGAAAUGACAUUAAUCUUGUUCAUCUCCAUCAGAGCUCUUGAAUGACCAGGUGCAUCGUCAAUGAGCAGUAAUAUUUUGAAAUAAAUCUUUUUUUUUUCGUGAACAGUAGGUCGCAGUAGUGGGCUCAAAAUAUUCAGUCAACCAUGUUGUAAACAGAUGUGCUGUCAUUUCAGCUUUGUUUUUCCAUUUAUAGAGCACAGGCAGAGUAGAUUUAGCAUAAUUCUUAAGGGCCUUAGGAUUUUCAGAAUGGCAAAUGAGCACUGGCUUCAAUUUAAAAUCACCAACUGUAUCAGUUCUAACAUGGAAAGUCAGCCUAAACUUUGAAGUUUUGAAGUCAGGCAUUGACUUCUCUCUAGCUCUGAAAGUCCAAAAUGACAUCUUCAUCCAAUAAAAGGCUCUCCUUUCAUCUAUACUGAAAAUCUGUUGUUUUGUAUAGCCAUCUUCAUGAAUUAUCUUAACUAGAUUUUCUGGAUAAAUUGCUGCAGCAUCCACAUCAGCACUUGCUCCUUCACCUUUUACUUUUACGUUAUGAAGAUGGCUUCUUUCCUUAAACCUCACAAACCAGCCUCCACUUAUUUCAAACUUGUUUUCUGCAGCUUCUUCACCUCUCUCAGCUUCAUAAAAUUGAAGCGAGUAAGGGCUUUGCUCUGGAUUAGAUUCAGUUUGCUAAUAUUUUGUUUAGGAUUUUUGCAUCUUUGUUCAUGCAUGGGAUUGAUUUGUAAUUUUCCUUUCUUAUGACACCUCUCAGGUUUGGUAUCAAGGUUAUACUGGCCUUAAAAAGCUCACAGAGAAGUUUUCUUUCUCUUUAUAUUUGGUAGAAGGUUUUGUGAGAGAUUGGCAUUAUAUCUUCUUUAAAUGUGUGACAGAAUUUGCUGGAAGCCAUCUAGGCUUGGGAUGUGUGUGCGUGUGUGUGUGUGUGCAUGCAUGUGCGUGCAUCUGUGUGUGUGCAUGUGUGCCUGCAUGUGUAAGUACAUGCACAUUUUGAAUUGUUAUAUAUUUUCCAUGAAUUGAAAGUUUAUAAAAUAAAUAACUCUAGUAAUAAUUUUUGCCUUAAAUUAUUCUUUGUUUGAAAUGAAAUAUAGUUACUGUAGACAAGCUCUUUUAGUUUGUGUUUACAUGGUAUAAUUUGUUUCUUUCUUUUACUUUCAGCCUUCCUGUGUCCUUACAUUUAGGAUAUGUCUCUUCUAAACAGUAUAUCAUAUUUUUAAAAUCUUGUCUGACAAUCUUAGCUUUUAACUGGAACAUUUGCUCUAUUUACAUUUAACAUAUUUCCUGUGUAAGUCUAUGUCUGAUAACUCCACUACUGGAUCCCAUCUGACUGUGUCUAUUAUGUGCUGAUUAUUUGUGAUUGAGUGCUGGACAUUUUGUAUGAAAAUUAUAGAGAUAAUUCAAGGCACCUGCCGAUGUUACCUUCCUCCAAAGGGGAUUUAUUUUUACUUCUGGUAGUCGGUUUCACUAGAGGCAGUAAGUAUUCAAAAUCAUCCUUAUUUGAUUAGGAUUUGAGAUAAUUCAGGUCUGAGUUUAAGAUCCUGUUGGUCUAUUUCUUUCUAGUUUACCCUUAUUCCUAGGAUAUACCUCUUCAGGAUCCUAAUACAAGUGGAGAGUAAUUGGUUGCCUAACCCUCAUUUUUGGCUAGCCCUAAACUCCAGUUUCCUCCAAGCCCUGUGACACUUUGAAAGUUCUACUCACAUUUACAGCCUCUCAGUAGCCUAUUCCAGAAUCACCAAGUGCUCUGGGGUAAAAGCUAUUCCAAAUGCAGGGUUUACUUCUCAGAGUUUUCUUCUUCUCUCAGGUUUUGGGCCCAUAACUUUCCUAUGACUUCAUAAAAAAUAUUUUGUCUAGCUUUUCUAGUUCUCUGUAGGUAAAUUAUUCUGAAUCUCAGUCUAGCAUGGUAUACAUAGAACUCUUCCCAUACAUUUUAUGUGAGAUAACAAAUCCCUUAUUGUUUAUAUUUCUUUGGCUUGUCUGUUACUUGCUACCAAACACAUCCCAGUAAGUACCAAUGCCCUGUGAAGAAAGUAUUUUCAGUCUAGUAAGUCUGAAAAACACCAUGUAGUAAAUUCUCCACUUAGAAAUUCAUAAUAUACAUUACAUUAAAUAUCAAUGAAAUAUUACAUAAAGAAAGUUUGUUUAAUCUUCUGCCUAAAGACAUUACAUGAAGAAACAAUCCUUUUAAAUAAAAUCACCUAUUAAACCCUAUGGAAUUAGGAUUGUCUUCUGUUGGCUUGUCAACUACCUUUUUUUUUUUUUCUGAGCAUGAAAAUUAACUCUCCUUGGGGAAUUAAUCUGACUUCCCAUUCAGAGACUAAACUCCAUCUUAGUACUCCUGAAACUACAUAUAAUUUUUUGUGUUUGUGUUUGUGUUUUGUGUUUGUUUGUUUACUUGUUUGUCUUUCUCAUUAGAUUGUGUGCCCUUGAGGUAGUUGGUGGGGUGCACCUUUAUUUAGUGUGACUCCAGUACCUGGCAUUUUAAUUUGACAUUUAAUAAUUCUUUUUUUUUAAGUUUAUUUAUUUAUUUUUAAUGUUUAUUUAUUUUUGAGAGAGAGACAGAGUGUGAGUGGAUGAGGGGCAGAGAGAGAGGGGGACAGAGGAACCAAAGCAGGGCUUUGGGGCUCAAACUCAUGAACCAUGAGAUCAUGAUCUGAGCUGAAGUUGAACGCUCAACCAACUGAGCCACCCAGACACUCCUAAGUCUCUUUCUUUCUUUAUUUUGAGAGAGAGAGAGAGAGAGAGAGAGAGAGGAAGAGAGAGCACUAGAAAGGGAGGGGUAGAGAGAGAGGAAGAGAGAGAAUUCAAAGCAAGCUCCAUGCUUAGCAUGAAGCCCCAGACAGGGCUCAAUCCCACAAACUGUGGGAUCAUGAUCUGAGCCAAAAUCAAGAGUCAGGCACUUCACUGACUGAGCCACCCAUAACUAUUCUUAUUCAAUCAUUUGUCAAGAAUUAUUAAAUGUUAGAGUGCCUGGGUGGCUUAGUCAGUUAAGCACCAACUGUUGAUUUUGGCUUAAGUCAUGAUCCCACAAUUCAUGGAAUCGAGUCCUGCCUCAGGCUCUGCGCUGACAGUUUGGGAUUCUCUCUCUCUCUCUGUCCCUCCCCCGAUCUCUGUCUCAAAAUAAGUAAAUAAACAUUAAAAAAAAAAGAACAGUUAUGGGACACAAUAGCUCUUUGGACAGAUGAACUACAAGGAAAUGUUUGGGGUCAAUACAAAAGAGAGGUUCUUUUUUUUAAACCAGAAACAAAUUUUUAUUACCCAAGUGUUAUCAUGUAGUUGAAUAUUUCUCUACUUUGUACACAAUUAUUGUUAUUUUCCACAGAAAGGCUGUUUCUUAGCUUCUCAUCUGAUGAUGGCAAGUAUUAAAAUCCUGAUUUUAACAGAAUAGUUAAAUGUGGUAAAAAUGCCUCAGUGAUUUAAGCUGAAAGCAGUACAUUGGAACACAGCUCUUGUACUCAGUUAUCAGGAAUGUACAAAUGUCUUUUUAUUUAAAAACGUGAAAUAAAUUAUUUGUCAGCAUGGACAAUGACAGCCGUAGGCCAUUAUUUACUGUCAAUUGAAACCAUUAACUCAUGAUUAUAGUGAUUUUCUUAAACAUCAGCCAUCUUUCUCUUUAGUCAUUUCCUUCAAUUGACUUCUCUGAAGUUAUUGUUGAGGAGCACUAUCUUGAGCUUCACUACUUCAUUACUAAUGGUAAAGCACUAUUCUAGGAAUUAGAACAUUCCACCUGCCAUUCCACCCAUUCUGCCUAUUACAGAAUCCUUCUCUUCAAAAGAGAGUUUCUUAACCUGUGAAUCCAUGGAGAAGCUUCCCCAUAGUCUGUGAGCCUCCUCAAAUUGCAAGCAGAAUUUCUUGUGAAUAGGCUAAUUGGUCUGCAGGACUCUUACUCUUCCACAUGGCUUUUCCUUACUUUUUUCAUUCAGACUUCUAUAAAGUGGAACCUACCUCCACUCUCCAGCCCCAUUAUCCUGCUCCUGCUUCAGCUUUUUUUCUGAGAUUUAUCACCAUAUGGCAUUGAUAAUGGUCUUCUCACCAGCAUGAGAGUUUCACAGGGAUGGAAACUCCUAUUUAUUUUACUGCUAUGCCUAUAACAAUGUCCUGAAUGUUCUAGUGCUUAGAACAAUACCUAUGUGGUCAACACAUUUGAUGUGUAUAAUCAUACGCUAUUUUCUCCCCAAAGGAGAGGCCUGCCUGGAUCUGACCUUAUGCUGAAUUUACUAUGCAGACCUGAACAGAUAGUAGAAAUGAAUUAGUCUGGAAAAUGACAGGUGGGUGUGGGGAGAGAAGUGUGCUUUUCUAUGUCAAAUUUUUAAACAAUUCUAUGGAGACUUCUAAGCUGUAUAAGUCUAUUUAUUUCCAUUUUGAAUGUAAAAAGAUGUUUAGAAUGUUUGAACAGAGAAGACUUGCUACACACAUGUUUUUAAAGGACUUUUGGAAAUUUCUGCCUACAACAGAAGAGAUAAGUAUUUUAUAUGUAGUUAAAUGAAAAAUAAAUAUGAACUAUCCAGGUGUCUCUUUCCUGCCCAAGUUCUCUCUGACCUUCACGGAAUACUCUAGUCAGCAUGCAGCUUAUUGAGUCUUUAGAGGGCAGGAAAUACUCUACAUAUUUAAGCCAUUACACAUGUCCAAAAGGAGGGGAAUGGGGGAAUAUUUACAUCAGUUACUUGGAUACAGUCCAAUUAACUAGCAGAAACUGCAUUUUGAAGCACUAUUCCCUUGAACCUGCAUAAAUGUGUUUUUAAUAAUAUAGAGAGGCAAGCAGAUAGUAUCAGAGUUGCAGAUAGGAGAAUUUUAGUCUUUUUGCAGUGAUUUAUUUUGAAAGAGUCAGGGGACCACAAAGGACAGGGAAGAUAUUUCCCCACACAGGAAAGGGGGUUCUAUCAGCACACAGACAAUGGCCAGAGAUGAGGAACCUGUCCUUUUCCAAUCACAAAACACACAUACUCUUAUGGAAGCAGAGCUAUAGUCUGGGGCCAAUGAAGCAGGGGGGAAAGUGUGAGUGAUACAAACCCAGGAUUCUUGAGUCCACAGGGGAUUCACCAAGGAGUUCUGGAAAUAGACAGGCACAGCAAGGGGUCACAAAAGUAUUUGGCUAAAAAUGCUCUGAGAGCAUUGCAUCCAUAAGGGGGCUCUUUGGUGGCAAAAGGUGUUUUAUUCAUUGGUAGCAUGAUUCAUCUUAUUUUCAGGAAAAAGAAAGUCAUUUACACCAGGCUGGUAGAAUACCCACCUAGCAUUUUUUAUUUUUCCAAAUAGGUUUUAGUAGGUAAGAGUGUCAACCUUAAUUCCUCAAGUCUCCUCCACCCCAAAACAAUGAGCCCAAACAGACAAUCUCUUGUCACUGUGCCCUCACUGCAGCAAUUCAUCUAGGCCACACAUAUCUACCUUGCUCCUACUCAGUUGCUUUCCUUUAUCACCAAGGUUGUUGGAUAGACCUAUGCUGCAUGAAUAAAAUAAGGGUUCUGAUAAUAAAGAAGAAACAAAAAGCAAGUGUGGAAUUUGGCCACUUUCAGGGUCUGCCAUACUUCUGUCCACUUCUCAGCCACAGCAAUAUGGCUUCCACCACACAUGACACAGAAACUUCUCUGUCAAACCUACCAGUGCUUUCUUUGUUGCAUCUCGCUUAACUUUUUUUGGGCACUGGUCUAUUGAGCCUUCCCUCCUCCAUGGCACCUCCUUUUCCCUUGGCUAUUGUGGGGCCACUUUCUCCUAAUUUCUCUUUUCUGUUUCCUCCACACACACAGUAAAUUUCAGCACUCCUGAGGUGCUGGCCUAAGGUUUCUGCUCUUCCUCUGGAUACCUCUUCCAAGUUACUUCAUCCAAGCCUUUGGCUUUAAGGGCCACCUCCUGCUGAUACUCUCCCUCCAUCCUUCAUCUCUUUGUUCAGACCUCUAUGCCCAGUGCCCUUCUGGACAUCCCCACAGUAAUGGCUCACAAGCACCGCAGACUUAACACAUACAGAACAAGUUCCUCACUUUUUAUGGUAAGCUUGCAAUUCCAUCUAUGGUUCUUCUUUGAGAAAUGGAUCCAUCAUCUCACACAUUUCCCAGGUAGGAAACCAGGGCACCAUUCCUUUCACUUAACCUCACAUCCACUGUAAGAGAUGCUAUUAUGCCCACACUAUGGGGCUGGCACACCUGUUAAUCAGCUGCUUGCUACAGAGAUUGAUUGCUGGUGAUCCCCACACUUUCACUCUUUUCUGGAGGACAACUCUUGGCUGAGCUGUCAACUGUAAGGUUCCUAGGGGAUUACAUUUCCUCACCCCUGCAUGGCCUGAAGCCAAUACUGACUGAGGUAGAAGGUAUGGCAGCCCAGCCCUCUCACCCCUGGACAGGACAACCUCUGGUGCAACUUAACUCCACAUCUACCCUGAGAGCAGGCUGAAACCAGACUUACCAUGAAACCACAUUUGUGCCCAGGUUCUUCUGCCCUCACUUGCUUUCCUCACUUCUGCAUGGAUUGUUCUGAGACUCUCCCAUAAAUUGAUUGUGUAAGGAUCCCCAUCUCAGGUUCUGCCUGAGGUACCCUGGCCAAAGGUCUCAGAUUCCAUUUCCAGGUUCCCUACAUCUGUGUACCUGUCAUCUGUCUGCCACUAUCUUAGUCAUACUGCACUGGUUUCCACCUAGCCCAAUGCCACCAAUAGAAACAGAAAGCGAGCCAAUGCAGCAUUUAACUUUUUCUAGCAGCCACAUUAAAAAAGCCAGAAGAGUGGGGUGAAUUUAAUUUUGGAAAUAUAUUUUAUUGAAACCAGUAUACCCAAAUUAGUAUCAUUUUAACAUGUAAUCAAUGUAAACAUUAAAUAAAAAUUAUUAAUGAGGUAGUUCAAACUCUUUUAUUUAUCGAAGUUUUCAAAAUCUAGCAUGUGUUUUAGUCUUACAAGCACAAUUCAUAUGCUAAAUUUUCAAAGAAAAUACUUAAUCUUUAGAUUUAAUAAAAUUCAGCUGGAAAAAGAUUCACAUACCCAAAUUGUUUUCAAGCAUAUAUCAGUCUUCCAAUCACUGAGUUGUGUAUCAGUUUUAAAAACUUAAGUUAAUUAAGAUGAGAUGAUAUUAAGAAUUCAAGUGCUAAGUAGCCAGUGGCUACUGUAUGGGGCAGCACAGGCCUGGACUGUCAAACCUGCAUUCCUUAACUUCCUUGCUCCGGAUACCAAUGUGUCUUCUACAGUCUCUGUGCUAUUUUAACUAUGCAUCUUACAAAGGAAAGAUCAGUAGCACUUAUCCUGCCUUUAUUCAAAUAUUGAUAAUUUAUUCAUGGUGUACUUUUGGCAUUAAUUUUGAUUUUUUAAAAUAGUGCAUUACCAUAUUAAUUUAUCUUGAUUACAAGGGUUUGGCACUCAAAUUUUGUGUCUGAGUGAAUGCCUCAUUUGCCUCUCUCUAGUCCUGGCCUUGCAUAAUGUGAUUCCUGCUUAUGUCCUUUCAAAGUCUCCCCAUGGAGACUUUCAGGAUCAAGCCCAUGAUGGACAAAAUAUCUCCUGUGGGGGCCUUCCUUCCUGCUCCCUUACAGACACUUUUCACUAAUGGUGGGUGAAAACUGAACUGGAGCAUGUCACCUUCCUACCUUCAUUCACCCUGUUUACUUUGCUCAGAGACUCACUUUUCUGUUUUCUUUAUCUAAUUCCUACUCAGUCUUCAAACCUCCUUCCUGGGAGCAGGUUGGGGACUGUGUUGCAGUAAAUUCCCCCACAGUCUCCACCUUCUAGGCUGCACUGGGUAGUCUACACAUGCCUGCCCUCACAGAUCCCUCUUCCUGGAGGGACUCCUGGGAAGGAGCUGGCAGGAGUUGAGAUGGGAAGAGAGAGUGGCUGCCUGGAUCCCAGCUCUCUCCCUGGGUUCUGACAGAGACCACACCCAGCCCCAGCUCCUGCUGGCCUGGGUGCUUGCCUCUCCCUGGGCUCAGAUCACCCUCCCCUGCCCCACAGACCCUCAUGGCCUCCCCCCUGUAAGUGGUCCCUCCUGACUGUCACCCACCCUAGUCUAACCAUCUUCACAGAACUCCAGAUUCUGCUGGGAUUUUGCUAGGACCUUAGACACAUGCCUGUUUCCCCCCACCCCUCAACUCCUAUAAUUGUUAGUUCUUCUGAUUCUCCCUGUCUUCCUCCUUUUCCUCUCCUUCUCCUUCUUUCCUCCUUUCUUUCUUCUUCUCCUUUCUCCUUCUCAUUCUCCUCCUUCUCCUUCUUCUUUCUUCCUCCUUCUGCCUUCCCCCUUUUUCCUUCUUCCCUCUCCUUUUUUCUUCCUUCUUACAUCCUGGGUUAUAUAAUCAUCACUCCAGACUUAUCUCUUUCUGCUUCACUUGACUAUAACCUCCCUGAGCAUGAAAUGGGACUUCCUGAUCCUGAUGUCCCUCAUGAAACCCAGCACUGAGCCAUUUGGCAGGGGCUCUGGCCUUCGUGAAGAAAGGGCAAACAUUGAGUUGUUUAGUUCAUAGAUGUUUGUAUUUUUAAAUAGAUCAUUCAUGAGACCAAUACUCAAAUUAUUCUCAAAGGGGUUUUAAUAUGAGACAAUGCUUUCUGAAUAUUACUUCUUUUUUCUUUUGUCUGGAAAUAGCCUCUUCUUGAUAUAUAUUUUCUGAAAAUAGAAAUUCAUGUCAAGAUACUACAUUACUCAACUGAUCUAUCAUUUCAUUCCACAAAAGCCUUGUAACUUCAAUUGGAGAUGGGCAUGCCAUUUGAACUCCUGUCCACAUGGAUUAGAACCUAUUUAUACAUGGAUAUGGCUGCUGUUGCUUCUUAGAGUCAUACAGUGUUUCAUUUAAAAACAGUUUGUUCCAGGUAACAUAAAAUGUAAAAAUGAAUGGUGAAAAGGAAAGUGUUUUUAGAGUUCCAACUCAUCCCUUUUAAUUUUUCUUUAUUAGAAAUUUGUUUUUACAUAAGCCACAUUGGAUUUAGACUUGUAAAAUCCUAGUGCCACCACUUUCUAACUGUGUGGCCUUGAGCAUAUUAAUCAUAUUGAACUUCAGCUUCAGUAUCUGUAAAAUGAGGAUAACCCCUUCUUUGUAUAUGUACAAAUGUAUGUAUAUGAUGCAUAUGCCAUAUACCAUAUACACAAUAUACAGUUAUUCUCAAAUUUUACUGUGUCUAAGAUAAGGAGCUAAUUAAAGCCACAGAAUCCUGGGCAAGUCUCCCAGAGUUUCUGAUUCAGAGGCCUGAAAGAUCCUCUGAAAUCUGUAUUUGUAAUAAGCUUCUCAGGUAAAUCUAAUGCAGAUGGUUCAUGGACUGCACUUUAAGAAAUGCUGCCAUAGAUCCUAAGUUCCUUGGAUUAUAAACAUAUUUCUAGGAGUUUUGUACUUCCCAUGACCUGCUCAUGACAUGUGUGCUGUAAUACAGCCUUGUGACAUCAAAGGUCAUGCUCAUCCUUUCCAUGCUGCUUUGUGAUCUAGCUACCUUGACAUUCAUGCCUCUCUGGGCUGUACAAGCAUGGUUGGCAGCUGAACACUAGGACUCCAGGUCCAUGUAGACUCCAGUCAGAUUCAAAGCCCUAGAGAGAGAAUCCAUUGGCCAUCUUAUGUCAUGAGCUGACCUCCAUGAAGAGAAGGAAGGUCUGGAUUGCAGAUUACACAGAAUGGAAUAUUGAAAGAACUGACUUUGGUUUCCAGUUCAACAUGCAAAACUUUAGAAGUUGUCAGUCUCAUCCUUACAACAAGAAAAAAGCUGAAUAACACCAAUUCAUGAUAAAAACUAUCAGAAAACUAGGAAUAGACCAUGUUAUGCUAUCUGUUAGCUAAUUAAAAUUUAAAUAAAAAUUGAAAAAAGAGAAAACUA